rnacentral:lncRNA from 1 species
GCCGUCGUCUAAGGUGAUUUCCGACCGGCCCCUGUGGUUUCCAGGAGCCAAGGCCCCGGAAUGGCUGGACGGAAGCUUGGUAGGGGACUAUGGAUUUGAUCCAUUUGGGUUGGGGAAACCGGCCGAGUAUUUGCAGUAUGAUUUGGACUCGUUGGAUCAAAAUUUGGCCAAGAAUGUGGCCGGAGAUAUAAUUGGGACAAGAUUUGAGAGCGCGGAAGUGAAAUCGACGCCGUUUCAGCCGUACACGGAGGUAUUUGGAUUGCAGAGAUUCCGUGAGUGUGAGCUUAUUCAUGGACGGUGGGCAAUGCUGGCUACACUCGGUGCUCUCUCUGUUGAAUGGCUCACCGGUGUUACUUGGCAAGACGCCGGAAAAGUGAGUAUAUUUUCGUCACUGAUUUCCUUUUAUUUAUUUAUUUAUUUAUAUACCGACAGUCUUGCAUUAUAUUUAGUCGUGGGCUGUUCAUUUGAUUUAAAGAAAUAAUUUGAUAUUCUUUUUGUUGACUAUGAACUAAAAAUUUCAUAAUACACAACAAUGACAUCGUUACCUAUUGAAAGUUUUAAGUUCAAAUGUAAAGAUCUAUUAAAUACGUUCCCAAGUUCAUAAGAUCUAAUAUCAUAUACAUACUUUGAACGAUUAAUGAUGAGUUGAUCAUGUACUAAUCAUUUCAGGUAGAAUUAGUGGAAGGUUCAUCGUACCUAGGCCAACCACUUCCCUUCUCCAUCACUACACUAAUCUGGAUCGAAGUUCUAGUGAUCGGUUACAUUGAGUUCCAAAGGAAUGCGGAGCUGGACCCGGAGAAAAGGUUGUACCCAGGAGGCAAGUUUUUCGACCCUCUGGGGUUGGCUGAGGACCCAGAAAAGAAAGCAGUGCUACAAUUGGCUGAGAUCAAGCAUGCUCGCCUAGCCAUGGUUGCGUUCCUUGGGUUUGCGGUUCAAGCUGCUGUGACUGGCAAAGGUCCACUCAACAACUGGGCUACCCAUCUCAGUGACCCUCUCCACACCACUAUUAUUGACAACUUCUCUUCUUAAGGCUCCUCUUAAUUGUCUCCUCCAUUACUCGUCUUCUUCAUUAUUGUCUCUUUCCAGUUUGUAUAAAACUUGACUGAGUUAUGUGAUCCUGAGCUGUAAGUAGUACUUUGCUUCGCGAUUCCUAUGUUAAAUUAUAUUAUAUAUGGUGUUACGACACAAAUCAAAAACCGUUCUUUAUUUCAUUCCGAUUGGUUUUGAAUCAUUCUUGAGGUGAUUUUAUAUUGCCUAAAAUUUUGUGGUUUCAAUUGGGGAAGAUGAAUUGGAAAAUAAAGUUAUGGUACAAUCAAAGUUUUUAAUGGUCAUCGAAGUCUUCAAAGAUGACUAUUUUGAUGUAUAUCUUUUCAGUAAAAAAAAACUCAUAUCAUAUCAUCUAUAGAGAACUUGACAUUUAUUUUAUUUUCAAUUGCAUGAAAGUGGCCUUUAAGUCAGAUUCAAAUCGAAAAUGACUAAAUAAUAUAUUUGAAUCUUAGAAUAAAAUGUCUCUAGAACCAAGAUUUUUAGAAUAACUUUAAAUAGAAAAGUAUUCAUAGAUUUAAGAGAUAUUUCUUAUAAACAAAUAUUCGACCAUGAAUUAAAAAUACCUAUUAUUAAUAGGAUGAAAUGCAAACACACAAACAUAAUUGUAAUCAACUCUUUCAACUUAAACUUAUUAUAGUCGUAAAAAUUAAAACAUUGAUCGAUUUUUAUAUUGAAAUGUUUGAAGGCAUAGAGUAGUUACAAGUGAUUCUUAUAUUUCGAUCGUAAAUUAUGUUUUGGUUAAUAUAUUAUUAUUUUUUAUUCAAAUUUUUACGAUAUAAUAAAAAUUUAGAUUCUAUCUCUUUUGUUCAAAUUUAUAGAUUUGUGAAAAUACCGAACUAAAUGCAUAUUCUUUGAAUGAUAAAUACAAGUUAAAACUAUUUUCUAACUAUUAUUGGAUGUUAUCUGUUAUAUGGAUAGAUUUUGAUAUGAUAGCCUAAUCAAUUUUAUAGCAAAAUUGAAGAUAAAAAAAUUGGGUCAACUAGGAAGAAUACAAAUUUUAAGGUUGUGAUUUUGAAAAAUAGCAAAACCGCUCCCUCUUUCAAAAAUGAAAAAAAAAAACAAUAAAUAAGUAUUUACAAAAAUCCAAAAUAUCCCUAUACACAUGGACUGUAAGCUACUUUCUUGAAGUUUUAGUUUCAUCUUUAGCUUCAUCAUGCAUUUUCAAGAAGAAUAAUAUAAACAUUUAAAACACACAAAUACUAUCUUCAUUUUCCAUCUUCCAUCUUUAAUUUUUAAAUCUAUGACCUGCAAUCAAAUGCUUGGGGUGGAAGAACAAAUAUACAAAAUAAUUAUCGGAAAAUUUUAGUUUAUUUUUAAAAGUUAUUUAUUUAAUUAAAUUAAUAAAAUGUAUAUGAAAUUUGUGAGAUUUUAUCUAAAAAUACACUAUUUUAGUCUAUUUUGUUGAAAACAAGUCAAAAUUUAAAAAUAAAUUAAGAUCUUACUGCCAAAACUAUUUAAUUUCCAAAUUAUUUAGGAUUUCAACCAAUUAAGAUUAUUUUAAAAUUUAAAUUAAAGUUGAGAUUUAGACAACAAAAAAAAUUAAUUAUGUGGUUAUUUUGAAAUAAAAAAAAUUAGAAAGAAUUUGUUAGGAGUAGGAAAUAUACAUUUUAACGCAUCAAAAUUAAUUAUGACUUAUAAUAUGCAUAUCACCACUUCAUUACACUGGACGCAUAUGUUAAAAUAAUUAUAGUUUUGCAAAUGUGAAUAUUGUAUAAAAUACCAUGUGUGACACUUCCAAAAUUAUGUUAGUUGGUACGUUAUUUCUUCAAUCAGAUGAACAUUCAAAUUAGACAUUAACCUUGAUAGGAUUUGUAAUUGAAUUAAUGUUAUUGAACUUUCUAACUCAUUUAUUCUAUAUUUUGAAAGUAAGUUAAUUUAAAUUUAAUAAGGAACAUUGAAAAAACAAUUAAAUUAAAAAGAUUUUGAAAUAAUAAAAUCAAUAGUGAGAUUUACUCAAAUUCAAAAUAAUAAUUGGGUUGUUUUUGAGAUUGGAAUUAAUUUGUAAGGUAUGGUAGAAUAAAACAUGGAUGGUAUAUAUUUAGAAAAUAGGAAAAGUUCCAUAAGCCACCCUAUGCCUAAGGCUAGAAGUUUAAUUACUUUCACACCCCAUGAACUAUAUGCAUUAUGCAAAUUUGUUAGAGAAUUGUUUUUCAAAUCUCUUUAUAAAAUAUUAAAAACAAAACUGACAUUUCAAUCUCGAUUUUAUUACUUCUGCACGCGUUUUCGAAUCUAUAAAUACUCAGCAUCGUUUCGAAUUUUAUGUAUUUUCCUUUGGGUUUAUUGUUCAAUUUCAUCUCCCACUGACGGCGACGAUCAUUCCAUUCUCAUUCCGCUUCCUCUAUUUCCUCAGUUUCAGCCUUCCCUGAAUUCCCAUUCUGAGGUUCGAUCACGCCGAUCUUUGCAUUGUUGUUGUUCUUGUUGUUAUUCUUCACCUUCAUAGAUUUCUAGUCAUUUUUCUUCGAACGGAAGCUGAUUUUUAUGCUUUGUUCUGUAGGGAAGGCAAUCGAGGAUUGGUAGAGAUAUUGCUGCAACGAGAAGAGAUGGGGAGGCUUUUUUUAAUUACUCUGGAUGGGAAUUUCUAUAGUUGCAAACACUGUAAAACUCAUCUCGCCCUUUCUAAAGACAUAAUUUCAAGGGUAUGUAAUCUUAUUCCUCUAUUCUACAUGCACAUUUGAGUAGCACGAGUUUUUUUUUUUUUUUUUGCGUUUUGUUGAUUGUCUUCUUCACUUGUGUUUGAAGGAGGUUAAUCAGUGAGUACAUAUUUGUUUCGGAUUUUUAUUUAUUGUAAAGUAAAAGGGAAUCGGUGUCUUUAGGAAAAGAACUUCAAUGCUCUUAAAGUUUGAUUUAGGAAAAAGGAACUUAAUGCUUUGGGACCACAUACACGUUUUUAGAAUUUUGAUUCCUUGCUUUUGAAUGAAUGCUCCUUAAUUAGAUAAAUUUUGAUCUCAAAGCCAAUUGACAACUGAAAGAGUAGCCAUUAUCUAUUGAGGUUUACACAUCCUUCCAAUGUGGGAUUCUCAACACGUCUUCUCUCUAGGUUCACCAAGCCAAAUCUUAUUUUUUGGAUUAAUGCUCAUUUGGGCUUUAUGAGGUCUAGGAGUACCAUAUUAGAAAAAUGAAGUUACAUCCCAAAACAAAUUGACGCUAAAAAGAGGAGUAAGACAUGUAUCUUGUAUAGAUUUUGAGGUGUCCUCAUCUUUCUAGAGCUCUCAUACUAAAUUACAUUAUUAUAAAGUUUCAUCUGAUAAAGGGUGGGUGGGAGGACGUAGCUCAUGUUGUUUCAAUGCAGAGUCUUCAACACUUGAAACUUUUAGUUCACAUUUACAAACUAGGACUUGUGAUAAAAUUGUUCUUUGAUUUAAUUCUUAAUCUUGUCUUAGUCUUUUCCUUGUAGUGCUGAAUUUGCUACCUGGGUUGCUCAAUUUCUUUGUUAAUUUUAUUCUGCAUUCAUCGAGAGACUUACCUCCAUCACAUAUUUGCUUGGUAGAUUUAAAUGAUUGGAGUUCUUGUGCAUAUGGUGCCUGAUUUUAUCAUACUUAUCAGAAAUAUCAGAUGUAUGGUUAGUGCUAGUGGAGAUUAAAUUGCAUUUCUGAGUAUUUUUAGUUACAUGGUGAUAAGAAUUUUAGCCUUCUGGAUAUUGAAUAUGUUUGGUUGUUUGUGUACUUCUCUACUUUCACAUGCAAUGGUAUCUCUAUAUGGCUGCUGAGGCGCUUGUAGAACUUGUUUUUACUGUAUAUAACGGUAUGCUCAUUUCCAGCUUUUAGCAUCUGUACCUCUAUGUCAAGCACUAAAUUGUAUCUUCUUUUGAAAAAAGCUUGUUUGUAUGUAUUGUUACUCAAGACUUCCCGAUCUUAUAUUUUAGGACACAUUUUCCUCAAGGAGUAGGAGUUGGAAACUCCCCUUCUUUGUUUGGUCUUUGGAUUUUUUGUUUUUGAAGUAUCGGAUGUUGAAGUUCAUGAGCCUUACAACUAAAAAACAUCAAUUCCAUUUAGCUCUUUACUCUGUGGGACCCUUCUACAUGUACAUUACAGGCUUGCCACCUUUUUUUUUUCUUUUCAAAUCGACAUACAGUACCGAAAAAACACAUGAUAUACUAACAAAAUUCUGCUUUGCUUUUGUUUCAGACUUUCUAUUGCAGGCAUGGAAGGGCUUACUUGUUUAAUAACGUGUGAGUUUACACUAUGGUGUUUUAUUGUAAAUUUUUUAGUUUUACACUUCGUGUGAGUUUACUCUUCCACAUUGUUUUAGGUUUUCUGUAAUUAUCCUUUAAUUUAGGUCUUAUAUUACUUGAUUGGAGCUGUUGCUUGUUUUAGUUGGAAUUUUGGAUUUUCAUGCUCAAAAAGAAAAGCAUAACUUGGGGUUACUGAAGCGUGGGUCUAUAUUCAUUGGAAUCCUAGGCAAGUAUAUAAUGAUCCUAUUUCCAAUUGAAUAACAAAAUGCUUGGCAUUUACGGUAUAAAUUGGGUGCUAGAACUGGAGCAAGAACAUUGAUGUUGCUUUGGGUCAUAUAAUUAUUUUAUGCAUACAUUAUGUUAUCUAACAAAUUCAUGCUUGCCUUGUCCUGUUCUCAUUGAUUCCUUCCCUGUAGGGAAUGGUGUACUGGUCUUUCUUUGUAGUAUUCUAUUACAAAAGUUAACUAACUGCUACCCUGCAUGCUAUAACCUAAUUAACAAGUAGUAUUUCAUUGUCUACUGUAAAAGCUCGAUCUGCAGAACGAGAAAAAUGAUGUUGGUAUCUAACUGCUUCACCCAUGAUAUUUUGUUUCCGAACUCUUGUGGAUGGUGCUCACAUAGAAAUUAAAUUGUGAUUCCUACAGCCUCUAUUUCAUAGGUGGCCUUAAAUUGUUUCUUACAUGAUAUUGUCAUGUCACUCAUAAUCAUUAAACCUUCAGCUAACAUUUUUCAUUUCCAUAAUGCAUGGCAGUGUCAAUGUCACAGUUGGAGAACAAGAAGAACGGAUGAUGAUCACAGGAUUGCACACCGUUGUUGACAUAUUUUGUGUUGGUUGUGGUUCAAUUAUUGGCUGGAAAUAUGUAAGAUCUAAUGUUAUUUUUUGCUUUUCUUUUUCCUCUUGAUUGUCAAACAUUUUCCUGAUACCUUUCUAUCUAUUCCACAGGAGGUUGCGUAUGACAAAUCACAAAAGUAUAAGGAAGGAAAAUACAUCCUUGAAAUGUGAGGCCACUAUCCUUUGUUUUUUCUUUUAUUACAUUGAUUGCGUUCUUGAUGUCUCUCCACUAUAAAGUUUGAUCGUAAGCUGGAUAUAAACAUAAGAAAGAAAUUAUCUUGGUCAAAUAUCAAUUUUUAGUACCGUUAAGAAAUCAAUGAUUAAAGAUAUAGAAAAUCUAAACAAUAGAGAAUUAACAAAGACUAAUAUGGUUUACUAACUGUGUGUUAACUACGUCUUCGAAUGUGGAGAGAACACGUUAGUGUUUUGUCUUCGAAUGGGAGAGAACAUGUUAGUGUUUUAGAGAAAAGAUCAGAUUACAUAGCCUAGAGUGCCCUCUAGCUAGAGAGUUUAUAUAGCUCACUCUAAACCACAGGGACAAAAAUCGGAAAAAAUAGAAAUAUGAUGAAUAUGGAUACAAAUUCAAGGCAUUACAACAAGUGCACAUUAUGAUCCAUCAAUAUUUCUGUAAACUAUUUGAAGAUUUCACAAUUAUAUCAACCCAAAAACGGUUCUUGAUUUCUUGUUGGCGUUUGGAAAAAUCUUUACAGGUUCAAGGUGUUGGCUCCCGAUGGAACUGGGUACUUGGCAAGUCAUGAUCCACAGCUUGUAGGGAGUGAUGGCGAUGGCGACGAUGCCUGAUCUGCUAUCGAGUUCGAAAGUAAAUAAAAUCAUUACCUUCUGUAAAUUCUUCUCUCAGCCUAUUUUUCUUUGUUUUAUCUUUUUGCCAUUUAGCUCUUUCUUAAGCUUUUUGGUACACUGCCCCUGCAGUUUUGGCUGGUACAACCUCAAUCAUUUUUUCGUUCUUUUUCCAGUUCAUUUUGACUUUUUAAUUGAAAUCAACAGAAUCAGUUUUUAGGAUGUUGGAAUGACCAAAUGGAUUAGUUCUUUUCUAAUUCAACUUUACAGAUUUUGUCUCUCUUCAUUUUUAAUCUGCAGUUGUAAUCAUCUCAUCCCUCUAUUCAAAUUUUGGGACUAUCACUGUUUUCAUUUCAAUAUUGUCUAUAGAGAUCUUUUGUUGUUCGAAACUUUUUAUUUCACCAUAAAUACUGACCUUUUUGAAAAUUUGAAGUGAAAUUCUGACCAUAGUCUUUGAGUGUGAAUUAAUAAAAUUCCGAACAAAUUGCAAAAACCAUCCUACAACUGUGAUGGUAGUUAUAGUUUAUAGUUAAAAUUGAGUUCUUAAAUCCUAUAAAUAAAUUUUAAAACACUUGUGUAACUUUGAAGAUUAAAAAUGUCAUGUGAAAAAUUUGAGUGAAAAGGAACAAUACAAAAACGCUAAGCCAUUACUCCAAUCUUUUACCAUCUAAUUGUUGAACUUUAAACUUGAAAAGAAAAGAAUAAAAUAUCAUAGCCAAAAGGUUGGAAAUAUAUAGGAUUUGAAAAAUAUUUGAACAUGUAAAAAUACACAUCAACUUGAUCGUAAGCUGAAUAUAAACAUAAGAAAGAAAUUAUCUUGGUCAAAUAUCAAUAUUUAUUUAGUACCGUUAAGAAAUCAAUGAUUAAAGAUAUAGAAAAUCUAAACAAUAGACAAUUAACAAAGACUAAUAUAGUUUAUUAACUAUGUGUUAACUACGUCUUCGAAUGUGGAGAGAACAUGUUAGUGUUUUAGAGAAAAGAUUAGAUUACAAAUAUACGCGGAUCUUCCACACAUAUUUUUAUCAAAAAAUUAUUAUUAUCAUUUAACAAAUUUUAGUAAAAUUAACUAUGAAGAUUGAUUGAAAUUAUAUGAACUAAAGAGAUUUUUUAAAAAUAAAUAAAAAAUUUAUUAUAGUUGAUAUUUCGUAACAAUUUUUUUAUUAAGAACAAAAUGAUUAGAGUAUGAUUGGGUUUCAAACUUGAAACAAUUUCCCGAAAUAUAUUUAAAAAUGGAAUCUAAAAACUAUUCUAUAUAUAUAAAUAAAUUAGAGAGUUGAGGUGGGCAAUGAUUCAAACUUAAAACUUCCAUAAUUCAGGAGUAGGGUCCAUGAAGUGGUGAAUGAAGAAGGAAAGACGCAAACACCCAAUUUGAAUAAAAUCACACCAUUCACGAGGCCCUCAUUCAUUACACAAAAUACCCACCCUCCGAUCACCCUCUUUCCUUCAUCCCGAGGAAUCCAACAGCCCACGUUUAAAUCUGACCAUCCCCCCCCCUCCCAACUUUGAAUUCCUUCUCUCAUCUUUCAAUCUCUCUUUCUUUUCAUUUAUUUCUCUCUCUCUCUCUCAAAAUAAUAAUAUUUUUCUUUUUUUUUAUUAAAAAAGUUCUUAAUAGUUUCUAUUCAAACGUAUAUUUAUUUAUGAUGACAUACGUAAUAACACAAAUAGUAUGGAGAGAGAUGUCACUUUUCAAAUAGGGAAAUGAAUCUAAACAACUACAACUCUACAAGGUUGUUGUGUGGUAAAUUUGAUUAACCUUUUUACUAUAUUUUGAGUAAAAAAAAUAGAUUUUGAAAUGCUUACUGGAUUAACUUCCAUAAAAAGUUGAGCUUCGUCAAAAGGAAAUUGACCAUUUUAUGGGGAUUUUGUGACACUUAUUUAGAAAUUUUGAGAAAAUGGAACAAAGUGUAUUUCAAAGAUAAUUCAGUAUUUCUAUUUUCAACCUUUACACUUAUACCCUCCUAAAAUAAAUUAAAAUAUCAUUUAUAUUUUGUUACUAUAUUUUAAACUUCAUUUAAUUUUAGCUAUUAUAUGACAAAUUUUUAAAGCAUAUUAUAUUUAAUUAUUGCAAAAAGAUUAUUAAUUAUUAUUUAAUUAAAUUCACACAAAAACUAAAUUUAAGAUAUAAAAGUAGUAAAAAAAUAUUUAAGAUAUAAUGUAAGGGUAUGGACUAAACUUAGACGGUUAUAGUGACUAAGUUUAAUAAACUUAAGGUAUAAAGACUAAAAUGACACUUUAACUCAACAAAUGAGGAGAAUAAAAUUUAGAAUGUUGUCCACGGAAAUGUUAAUGUUUCAAUUUUACAUAAAAUGUUCAUAAAAAUAUUGAUAAAAAUUGAUAUCAAUUAUUAUUUUUAGAAAAGCUAAAGUAUCUUCAACUCAUUUCUUUAUCAUCUAAUGUGAGAGGAAAUGAACUCUAACGAUUCUGUCAAUUAGGUUCCUUGGUUGGCUCGAUCUCUUCCUCUUGGUUCGAGAAUUGAUCAUUCUUUCUCUCUUUUACAAAAUUGGGAAGUCCCUUUUAAUUAAUUUGGCCUCCCCUUCCUUAAAAAUCCAAAGGUCAUCCUCGACCAAAUAAACCUAUUAUGUUUCAACUUUGUUUGUUUUUUCACGUUAUUCCUUAAUUUUUUGCUUCACCCUCUUCAAUUUGUGCCUCCAAAAGUUUUAUUAUUUGGUUAUGGGUUACUUGGUCUAAUUCUUCCACUCCUUUUUCCAAAGCUUCGAUCAUCUCCUUAGGAAAACCUUCAUGUGGUUGUAGUCGAGGAGGCACUUUAUCUCGUAUAUAUCCUUCAUGAGUGACCAUCUUGGUUAAAGUCAUCUUUGUCUCGACUAGUACUUGUCAUUCUUCUGCUCAUCCUUAAAAAAUUCGACUGAAAACUUUGUGCAUAAUUUUUUUUCCUCCUCACAUAUGGCAUCAAUUGUUGAUUCCAAAAUAUGGGUAAGGAAAAAUACACUUGGCUACGUAAGAGACAAUAACAAAAAGUUUAUAAUCUAGGGAUUAUGUGAUAUGUAAGAUACAGAUUUGUAAACCAAUGUGAUACUUGCCAUACAUGCUUCGAUACUUAGGUCAAAAAGUGUAAGUAUGUAGCAAGUGGAGAGUUAAAGAUCAAAUAAGACAUUUUUCCCUGGUUGAGCUAUGGUGACAUAUUUAUAUGUGUAGUUGACCUAGACCUUUCCUCUUAGGUUUUGGAGUUGCAUUGAGAAUUUUCUUUUACUAGACUAGAGCAUAGUUCAUGUGGUAUUUUGUUAAGGUCAAGGUCGUGGUCGAGCAUCUUCUUUUAACAGUAUUUUAGGCCUAAGAUGGUCCCUUGGGUUAACGAAGGCAUGUUUCCAUUAGGCAUCUUAUGAGGUCUCGCAUACGCUAGCGUGGGCUAGUCAACUUCCUUUUUUGAAGACAAAUUUGGAAAUAAGGAGUUACUUUUAGUCCAAAUCAUGUUGUGUUGGUAACAUUGUUGUUUAUGUUUCCUGUGGAUAUUAGGUGUUUUGGUGUAAAAUUUAUAGAAAUAUGAAUGUGGAGAUUGUUAAUAGGGCUCCACAUAGAUGUACCCAACUAAUUCAAAAUCACCUCUUUUAUUUAUUUCCAUUUUAAUAAAAAUUAUAUAUUGUAAACAAAAACAAAAACAAAAAAUAUAAUAUUAUUUUAAAAAAUAAUCUGAACGGCCACAUGGGGACGAAGCCGCGGAGUGCUGAGUUAGUGAGAUACUUCAAAAACUCUGCCAUUCCCCCAAGCAAACACAACUCAACAAGAUUCCCAAAACCACUUCUCAACAAUAUCUCAUCAUUCCAUUCCCAUUUCCCUCAUCCAAUCUCCACUCCAACGUUGCCGCCGGCCACCCAUGGUAAACACUCUCCCUAUCUCUCAUCUCAACUACUUUUGUUUCACCUCUUGACUUUUACUCAGAUCUCUUCGUCUCCUCAAUGUACAAAAGAGGAGCCAAGUUUCUGUGUAGUGUCCAUUUCAGUUUUGACCGGUUUUUCUUUUUGGCUAUUUUUGAUCAAACGCUCAGAUUCGGACUUGAGUUUCGGAGAAAGCAUCGACUGAAUCGUACUGUUAUUAGUUAGAAUCCCUGGAAUGUUCACUAACGACACGGAGGGAGAGGUCGUAAUGUUGCUCGAUAUGCGAACGGUUGAGAAGGAGAUGGAUAAUGACAAUCUACUGCAUCGGAGCUGCUCGGAGGAUCUUGAUCCUAAUUUAGAAACCGUUUCGUUUUCCCUUUCCGGUCAGUCGUUUUUCCUUCCUGCAGUUUUAGAAAUUUUUUCGAAGUUUCUCUUCAACCAGCUUUGUAGGAGAUUUUGAUACGAUUUUUGGCAUUUUCUGAUCCGUAAACUGCAGAAGCUAAUAAUAAUGGUGGAUGUUCACCUGUCUCCAAGAAUGUUGUAUCACCUGUUCCACCGCGGAAGAUCAGAACGGAGGAUUUUUUGGAUUCAGAAAAUGAAAAAUCUGAUUACGACUGGUAAGUAAAUUAAAUUUGCUCCAAUUUCAUGUCUCAGUGAUGAAGUGGAUUUCAUGUUCAAUUUGUUGUAUAUGAAGUUUGUUUCCAAUCUAAGAGUAGCAUUGAUUGGUACAGUAGGGUAGCGUGUUGUUCAUUAACAAAUGCUUUUUUCAAAUUACUUCAAGAAUUCAUGUAGCAUUAGGGAUGUAAACAGUACCUCACUUGAGUUUUCUGGUCCUACAAGAACCUAAAUAAUGCGUCUGGUUCUUGUUUUCUUCUUCUACAUGUGGUUCUAAUACGUCGUCUUUGUCUGCGAGAUUCCCUUUUAUUUAACCCAUUAAAGCGGAAUGAAAUAUUUGAAAAGUCCAAAAGACGACACAUGAAAGUCAUUUUGUUCCUCAACGUUAUCAUUUCCCUUUCUUCUUCUUCUUUUUUUUAUGAAGAAUAAAACAGAGCUCUUUUACCUUUGCCUUUUUUUCACAUAUAUUGUGUACUUCCCUUUAACUUUAUUUAAAGUUUUUCAUGGGAUAAUCGAUUUCUUCAACUGCUUCGUUUUUUAGGAAAAAAAAACCUUGAACGUUUAAAAUAAAGUGAUAUUUGAAUUUCUUUGCUAAUUUCAACAAAAUUAUCAUCAACUCCUUUUUAACUUUAGGUUAGAUAAUUUUGAAUGGGUAAAUGCUCUAAGUGUACUUUUUCAUGUGCAAGGAAACAAUAACUUUCUUCUUUAUAACUAUAUUGAUUUCGUGAUUCGAGAACCCCACCUACCCUAACGCUUGCAAUGGAUUAGAUAAAUAGAUCCCUUCAAUGAUCUCGUUGUAGAUGGGGCCAAUGUUUGGCUAUUAUUGUUGAUAUGGACACAAUUAGUAUAAACUCGGUGUUAAUCCCUUAUUUGAAUUAUAAUACUUUAAGAAUGUUCCUUUGCUGUGAAAUUAACUAUUUAUUGUAAUUAAUCUCUACUGUUUCUCAGGCUCCUCACACCACCUGGCACCCCACUCUUUCCAUCAAUGGAGACAGAAUCACAGAAAAAUACAACCAAUAAAAAUGAUAUGAUGAAUUCUCGUUCCACUGCUCUGAAACCUAGGGUAAGAGCUCUCAACAAAUUGGACAAACCGAAUGAAUAACUCAAAAAUGAAUACUCAUGCGGGCAUAUGGUGAUAGGAAAAUCAGAUUUCACAAUAUUUUCUUUGGGGAUGUCUUGUAGGAUCAAGGCUGUAAAAUUUGCAACCCAAUUUUCUAAUUUACAUUUCAUAUAUCCUUUACUCCUUUUUGGGUUGCAGCUAGUAAACAUCCAGGAAGAGUGCAACUCGGUGAGUAACAUUGCGUCCAAGCAUCCGAAUUUGCAAUCUGGACAACUGAAUUCUUCAUGUGCUUCCAAUAAAAAGCCAUCGUCAAAGGCUUCUUCAGCUACUGCUUCAAGAUCUGCGACACCAACCUCACGCCAAACAUUAACUAAAACUACAAAGCCUUCAAGAUCAGCCACACCAACUUCACGAGUCAACACCAAAGCUUCAGCCCCUCCCGUGAGAUCUUCAACGCCUGCAAAAACUACUGCUCAGUCAUCAACACCAACUGAAAAAUCCGUGACAACUACAAAGCAAACAUCAAGGUCAGCAACACCUAAUCGCUGUCCAUCAAAGCCAACAUGUUCGUCUAUCACAUCACGUCCCAAUGGCCGGUCAUCUUCGACCUCAAAAUCUAAUGCUAGAAGUUCUAGUAAUCCAAGACCUUCAAGGGGGACCUUUCCAUCCAUUAAAACCAGACCUUCAAAACCUUCCGAGGCGCCAAAGUUCACACUUGAUGAAGCUGCAAGUCCAAUGCCCGAAAGGCCGGCUUCAACGACCAAGGGGAGGCCAAUUGUGGCCAGUAGUGCUAAAUCAUCAUCCGGUAGGACUAUGUCUAAUGGGAAAACUAGGCAGAAACCAAACUCUCCUUCGAAGCAAUUUGCCUCAAAUGGAAGCAGUGCAUAUAACAGUGGCAAAGUAUUUCCAUUCAAGCCAAGAAUACGUUGCCCUGAUGAUAAUGAGGUUAGCCCUGUGGUCAUGGGAACAAAGAUGGUGGAAAGGGUAGUGAACAUGAGAAAGCUUGUUCCUCCGAAGCAAGGUGACUACCGCCCGAGCAUUGGUGAUCCGUCCAGCAAGUCCUCUGCUGACAUCCCUGGCUUUGGAAGGACACUUUCAAACAAAUCAUUAGAUAUGGCUUUGAGGCAUAUGGUAUGCAUCCCCUUCUCCUUUCCAUUUCAUUUGAUAUGGUUAAACAUAAUUUUUUCCCACUUAAUUUACAUCCAAAUGAUUUUCUCAAGCUUAAUCAUAGGCAACCAGUUUAACCUAUAGAACAGAUUGUAUUCAAGUAAAGUCGUUAGGCAACCGGUUUUCUCCUAUCUAUCCAAAUGUUCAAUGUAGCAUCGCAGUACUCAAUUAUGACAACUCGUUUCAAAGCUGCAAUCUGUAAUUUGAUGUGAAUUCUUCUUCUUCUACAGGAUAUAACACGAAGCAUUUCAGGUAAAGUACGCCCAGUGAUUACAAAAACUCAGACUUCCUCCAUGAACAAUGGCAGUUCAAGGUCCACAAAAGCUGGGACGACUGGAGUUUCAGACUCUCCCCUUGCUACAAGCAGCAAUGGCAGUUCUGCACCAAGUGCAUGGAGUAAUUCUAUUCGUCUGGAUGAGAGCGAGACUGAAGAUAACGAGCUUUCCACAGAGAUGGUCUCGUCAUAGGAAGCUCCUUUGCAAAACAUUACCAGGUUCUUCCAACUGCUAAUUUUUUGCAGUAUAACUCAUGAAUACAUUCUAAGGAGAGUUGGUAUUAGGGAAGCAAAAACAUUGUAGUUAUGUAUAAUUAGUGUUAUAGUAAUUGUAUGGAUCUUCUACAUGAUUUAAGAGAAGAAAUUGUAUUCUAAUUAAGGAAUUUGAAGAGAUCCUUCUUAUGACAAUGAUAUUGUUUUGCUAUGUUGUAAGGAAUCUCCAUGGUAUGACUUCUUCAAAUGUCCAACCAAUGUUACAUAAUUUUACUUUUGUUAAAAAGAUUGAAUGUACUUUAGUUUUAGUUUGUAAUCAUAAUCAAUUUGAAAUAUUUGUAAAUAUAGCAAUUAGAUUCAAAAUAUUAACAUAUUCGACAAUAUUCUUAAAAAAAUUACAAAUUUAGCAAAAUCUAUAUAUAUUAUAAUUGUUGUUGUUCAGGCUAGACUAAUCUCACUAGCCCUCGAUAAGUGAUCACCAUAAAUUGAAUAUAUGACUUUCUUAGUUAGUUAUUGAAACUGUUCCUUCUUACCACAUAACCAACACAUGAUGGGUUACUAAUUAUGUAUACGAAAACACUAAUUAGAGACUUACAGAAAAACCAAUAGACAGCAAUAUUGAAUCUUUUUAUUAUUUCGAAGAAAAAUUUAUUGACUAAAUUGUUAUCUGAACAAAAAGUUUACCAAGUAAAAUUGUUUUUCACAUUUCUUUUUCUUUUUUAAAUAUCAAACAUUCAGGUACUUUUUGCUUGUUAAAGUUUUUUCCUUUUCUAAAACAGAAUUUAGUUCAAUAUUAAUAAGAUUUAAAAUUUAAAAAACUUUAGUCUCUUUUCUAUUGUUUAAAAAAGAACAAGAAAAUGUUAGUAAAUAAACAUGAUUUCUAAUAUAAAAAAAAUUAAACCCAAAACAAAGACACAUCAAAAUGACUUGUCUCUAUCUCAUAAAUCUUCCAACUUCCAACUUCUACAAUAUUUACAAAUGCACUAAACACUUACUCCAUUGGGUUGUAUAAUCUAUAUCACAAAAUCAUCAUAAAUAUUCACAAAACAACAGAAACUUAAGCAGUCAAAACCAUAAAAUAUCCACCAGAACCAAAGCCCUCAUUAGGACUUUUGUAGCUUUUUUAUGGCUUUACCUACAUAUACUGCUAGAUUUCUCAAGUGAUUUAUUUACUAUUUACUAUAACUUACUAUCAUUAAACAUCAAAAUCCAUGACACAAUAGCUAGUUUCUUUUUUACCUAAACAUCCAAAACAGUGAGUAUAAAAUAUAUAUACCAGCCAAUUUCAGCCAACAGUUCUACCCUCAGAAGUAGCAACAGCAGCAGUUCUUGAAGCUGCCGAACCCGAACCUGCAGCCAGAGUUGCCCCAGCUGCAGAAGAAUCCUUUUUCGAUUCGGCUUUAGGUUCUGCUGGUGGGGGUUUAGGCUUCAUGUGAAGAGGGGUAUUGUGUUUGAGUUUCAGAUGUAUUUGACGCAUUCUCGAGAGAUCGGUUGGCUUCCCGGGCUUCGGACCUUGAAUAACAACAAUAGCAGGCUUCUUUUCCUUGUCUUUCUUUCCCCUUUGUUCAAUGGUUGGUACCUCAUUGGGGAUUAGUUCUGCAAUUGCCUUCCAAUAGUUCUUAUCAGCUUCAGCAUGGAACUUCUCUUGGUUUGCUAGAUAUUGCUGUCAUUUUAAGAUCAAAUUAUGGUAAGAGAGAAAAAUAAUUAGGACUAAGAAAAGGUUAGAAUCCAAUGGUUUUACCUUUUGCUUAAUUUAAUGAGCCUACUUGUUUUCCAAUAAGAAGGAUUCUAACAAAUAUUAGGCUCAAAUGGCCACAUAAAUACAUUUGAUGUGGUAAAACCUCACAACAAUAAUGUUAAUAUCCUGAUUUACUUAAGUCUCUUUGGACCUAGUAGUGAUUUAACUACGAUAUCAGAAAAGCGAAUCUUGAGUUCAAAUAUCUAAUUAUUUAUCCCAUUUGAUAUUGAGAGUCAAAUGAUGAUGGGUCUCAUCAAUCAAAUCAACAUCCAAUUGUGUACGCAUGAGGGAGUGUUGAGAACAUAUCGUAGAGUUUAAAACCUAGGCUAGAUUAUGAAAGAAAUAUUGAAAAACUCUGUCUUUCGUUUACAAAAUGUCCACAUUCUUUUGAAAGUUUAAACAUUAUCCUUGUCCUUUCAUUUGGAGUAGAAAUCUUUAGACUAUUCACUGAAAAUUGGAACUUGGAACGAAGAUCUUAUGACACAAAUACCCCACGUCGUUCCAAAUCACCAACGCACUUAUUUCAGUUUUCAACCUCAACAGAAAAAAAAUCUAAAAGAUUUCUACUCGAAAGAUAGUUUUGAAACAUUUAUGAAAGGUUAAAGAUAAUAUGGCAUCUUGAUUAAAGAUGAUAUGACAAUUUUUAAAAGAGUAAAGUUAUUUUUAAAAACAAAAGACAUAGCUCGACAGUACUUUUUUGCAGUUAGCCUAAAAUCGAAAUCUCAACCACAAGAAAGGUUAGAAUCUAAAGAAGCAGCAUACUUAAUUUCAACAUUCAAUUCAACAACCGUUAAUUGUAGAUUCAGAAGCCAAAUCACUCAACAUUCCACAAAAUCACUUUAGUUCAUGAUUCUUCAUUCUAUGUUUAAAGAAGAUAAAGUGAAGUUUUCAGUUUAUAAUGAAAGAAAUUGAAUGAGUUUAGACAUUCUCACCUUCUCCUUAUCCCUAUUAGUAGCUUUGCUAUGAUCAAGAGCAAGCUUUCGCCUUCUGUAGAAUUCAAUUUUAUACUGAUCAGCCUCAUCAAUUAUCUCUUCCAACAGCUCCAUCUCUCUCUUCUCCUUUUCUUCCAAUCGAAUUGCAUUCAAUCUGCCAUUCACAGCUACGAUUCACGUUAAACCAUUAUAUAAUUAAAUUUAUCAUAACCCAUCAACUCAAGAUUUUAGAUUAAGUGGUAACUUAUUAGAAGAGAACCACGGUAAUACUAAACAUAUGGAUAGUUUAGGUUGACUUUUCAAGUGCUUCAAUUUUUAAGUAUAAAAAAAAGGAGUUUUCAAGCACUUAGAAAGUUGAUUCAAACAAGUCUUAAAAUUUGUUUGAUAGUCAUCUAGUUUUUGGUUUAUAAAAGUUAAACAUAGAAUUGCUACCACCUCUUAGGAGUGUUUCAAAACCAAACCACAAUUUUGAAAAUUGGAAAAGUUGUUUUUAGUUUUUGAAAUUUUACUAAUAAUUCUAGUAUUUAGUUCAGAAAAAUGAAAACCACGGUAAAAAAAAUUCUAAGAAAGUAAGUAUAAUUUUCAGAAUCCAAAAACUAAAAGUCUAAGAUCGAUUUGGUAAUAAUUUCAUUCUUAGAUUUUGAAAAUUAAGCUAAGUUUUUAAAUAGUGAACACUUUUUUAGUGCUCACUAUUUAAAAUACAGCCAAGUUCUUGAAGAAAAAUAGUUUCUUAAAAUCUGUUUUUAUUUUUAGAAUUUGACUAUUUGGAUUCAACUCUUUCAAUUAGACCAAGCAAUUUUCAAAACCAAAAAACCAAAUGAAACGACCCAAAAUGAUUAUCAACCUGAGAGGUAAGCUUUUGACACAAAAGCAGCAAGUAAAAGAGGGUUAGAAUUUCUUGAAUGCACAAAAAUUACGCAUAGUUUCAUCCAUCGGAUGAUCGCAAAAAUUUAAUUCAGUUCAUAAACACAAGGAUUUGAUCAUCUCAGUAAGAGCUAACAACUACCAGAUUUUGAUUCCAAAAAAUCUUAUACCAACAAUCUUACAAUCCCCAAGUAGUUCAACAGUUUUCUCACCUCCGCCACUCUCUCAAAGGAAAUCCUUCCUCCGGUUCCAUCGCCGUCGGCGACGAGAGGAUCGGGCCGUCCGAUUCGCCAAAACCGCCAUCAAAACCCUUCCCGUUCUGCUGCGACGAGAAACUCGAGAAUCCUCCACCCGCCGAGAAAUUAGUAGGCGGAGUCGGCUCAACGCCGUCUCCCUGGUCGUACGGCAGAUUUCCGAAGAUCGGUGAGGAGUCGUCGGCGGACUCGGCUUCGAAAGUUGAAAAGGUUUCAAAUCUUUGAGAAGCGAGGCGAGGUUCGAAUCCGUUGGUGGCAUCGUCGAAGGGAGAAGGAGGCGUUCCGGCGAAGGUUGACAUGGCGUCGGAGUAGUCUGCUUGUUCCUCCGGCGACGGUCAACAGCCGAUUAAUCUUUCCGCGCGAAUGUGUUCUCUGCAGCUUGGCGACCGUUUGCGGUCGUUAUUAUAAGAAAUGGAAAAAAGAGUUUGACGGCGUUAAUCUUCCGCUACAGAUACCUCCAAGUUUAUUUUUUCAUUUUUUUAGUUUAUUUUAAACCAAAUUGUUGAGUGAUGCCAAAUGGUUUGUAUUUUUCUAUAUUAGUUCUCAAAAAUACUACUUUUUUUAUACAUAGGCAUUGAAUUAAAUAGUGGGUGGAAGAAUCGAACAAAGGUAACAAAUACUAUGUCGUUUGAGUUAGUUCAUUUUGUUGAAAUGUCUGCUAUAUUGUUUACGUGUUAAUUUAGAUAUUGAAUGACAUGUUGAUUAUAUGAUUUGAACUUUAACUUUUUAUAUUUUUAAGAAAAAUAAAAAUAAAAUCCAACUUGACGUAGUCAACUAAAAUAGUUAACGGUAAAAUCUAUUAAGCUAGCUUAUUUGUUUUCAUUCCAUUUUUUAUUUUCAAGGUGUUAGUUUAUAAAUAUUAAUUUGUGUUUAUUUUUGUAAAAAAGGUUUUAAAAAUAUUUUCACAAUUUGAACCAAAAAUUGAUAGUGAAAUAAUAGUAAUAGUAUAUUAUUUUGAUAUUUGGGCAUGAAAGUUCAAAUGUGUUUAAACAUGCAUUAGAAAUUAAAGGAAAUUAAGCACAAUUGUUUAACAUAGAAGAGUUGGUUAAGAGAGAUUUAUAUUUAAACUCUACCAACAGAUAGAAAAUUAAGCAAAUAGUACAUAAGAGUUUAUCCCUCUUUUUCUUUUUUAACGUUGUUAUAUACUUAAUUAUUAUUUUUAAAAUUAUCAUCAAUUACAAUUAUCGAAAAAACCCAUGUAAUUUUGGCCUCUUUAAUAUGCACAAAGUCACAAAAGAGAAGGUUAUUCUUUUUGUAUAUUGCUAUUCAAUCUUUCUACGUUGAGAUUUUAAAUAGAUAUGACAAUAUACUCGUACAUACAAAACCAACUUAUUGAUAAAAUAUAUCUAAAACAUUUGUUUACAAAUUAAAGCCUUUCUCACAAAUGAUAAUUUAAUUCUUGAAUUAAUUUUCGUUCAAGGGUGACACUCUCUGUAGUUUUUUCCUCUAGGAGAUAAACAAUAGGUAUCGUAUACAUAUUUUCUCUUCACAUUCUCAUAAUCACUUUGUUGUUUGGGAUUCAAUUCCCACUUAUCUUGAUUAUUCCAUGGAAGUGUUUGUGAGUCACAUUGGUUCCCAAUUUGGCAACCAAGAAUACCAAAGCUUUUGUAAUUUGCUUGAAAUGGAGCUUGUGACCAAUCUACUUUUCUUCCAUUCGAUGCCCAUCCUUCUCCAUUCCAUAUGCUUCCUUGAACCAACAUUCCUUGUGAUGGGUAUCUCCCCCCGAUCGAUGUUAGGUUUUUAAAUACCCUUAUUGGAACUUGGUCUACAAAGAACCUGAAAUAAUUCAGGGAGUAACAACAACACAUGUUAGUGUUUUCGUCGAUAUUUUUAUAUGUGAUUUGUAUAUAUAAGCCGUUAGUAAACUUACACAAUUUGAUGAGAGUUCCAAAGAAUUCCAUAGUUGUGAAAAGCUAGGGUGGGAUCAAACCAUAAGUGAAGUCUUUCCUCUCUUCCUCCAACAUCAUCAGCAAAAACGUUGGUUUGUAAUAUAUAUGAUGGACCAUCUGUUCCUAGAAACUCAAAGUCUAUCUCAUCAUGAACAUUAUCGCUUCCUAUAUCUGAAUGUAACUGCACUCCAACAAUCAUAUCAUUCAUUAGUACUUUUUAAUUAAUAAACAUAUGAACACGUUAAGAAAUGUGAUCUUACAUAGAAUGUAGUAACAACUCCGGGAGAAUGGUUGGAAGGAAGCUUUAUUUGCAUCUCAAAAUAUCCCGAACCAUACUUAAGCAGUGAUUGGAAAGCACCACCUUUGUUUUGUUAAUGCCAUGCCCACCAAAAUAUAACACACACAUUUAAUUCAUUAUACAUUUCCUAUUUAAAUUAAUUAAUUAUUUCCUAUUAACUCAUAUUCAAUUACUUGUUUAUUUAUUUUUUAUUUAAGAAAAAUGAGAUUACUUUAAUAAUUACAAUUAUGCCUAUGUAAAAUAAAAUUAUUUUUAGAGGUGGACAAUAUAUCAAGAGAAGUAGAGAAAAGGAUUUGUUUUGAUCUCACUAACUAAAUGUUAAACAUAAUUUUGAAGAACCCCUAAAAAUUUAGUAUUUUCUCUUGUUUUCUUAAUCUAAUUUGCAUAUUUUUUUAAUAUAAAUGGUCAAUUCUGUGUCCAAUUCUAAAAUUAAAACUAAUUUUUAAUAAUUUUUCUAAUCUACGGUAGAAAGAGUGUUUAUAAGUUUAAUUUUCAAACACGUAGUUUUAGAAUUUAAAUCCUUAUUUUGUUUUGUUUUCUUUAAAAGAUAUUAAAUUACAAAUUUAGUCAGUAUGAUUUGAAGAACUUCUAACGUUAAGUUUAUAGUCUACAGUGACAAAACAUAUACCUAUACUAAUUAUAUUGAUAACAAUAUAAUAUAUCUAUUUUAAGAGAUUUAAUGGAAUUAUAAGAAAAUUUUAAACAUGUAUUAAAACAAAAAUUAAAGAGACCUCCAGCUUGAUCGAGAGUGAGUUGAGCUUCUGUACCACCGUUUAAUCGAAGAACAUGAUCUUGACUAGACGUAACAACGUAAUUCUUAUCAAAAUUAAGGUACUUUUGGCUAACAACAUCCUUCUUCAAACAACUUAUAAACACAAGAACUAGACAAAGAAAGAGGGAGCCCUUCAUAUUUCUUGAUCCUAAUUAAGGUAAUGAGAAAGAUUUGUUUGCUAAUUCAAUUGAAUUUGAAUGCAAUAUCCAAACAUACAAAGUGUACCUAUUUAUAAUACACAAAACAUAUUUAAUGCCCAAGCAGACGUAUUCACGUUUGAUUUUUUCAUUUAUUGUUCACCAUGCCAAAUAAAAUUUUGUGAUUACUUGUUAUAAAUUCAUAAGCAUUUUCUUUUAUCUAUAGGCCAAUCCAAAUGUAUUUUAUAUCAUAAAAAUGAUAAAAACUUUUUAAUGAUAUUCUUUUGAAAAAUGUAUUCGGAUAUAUAAUAGAUUUUAGUUGACGUAAUUUUUUGAAGUAAAACCUAAUCAAUUAAAAUUGUGAAAAAUGAAAUACCCAAUAAACCUUUAUGCAUGAUAUAUAUCACAAUGUUAUUGAUAAAAUUAUACAUGUACGUUUUUAAAUAACAUAUUUAAUCCACUAAUAUAAGGUGAAUUCAAGCUCAACUCGACGUCUAGUCAAAUUUUAAUCAAGUGAGUCAAGCCUAAAAAGUUGAGCAAAUAAGUUUGGUCAUUGAAACUUGGCUUGACUCGGUUUAUAAGCCUAAACAAUAUCUUAAGUUCUUGAGUUUUUACUUUCGUUUAUAAGCUUAUAAAGCCAGGGACAGAUCUAUGUCUCCUCACAUUCUUCGUUUUUGUAUUUUGAUACUAAAUUUGAAAUGUCAGAUUACAAUUUAUAUUAAAUAAUAUUUUAUUUUAACUAAAAUUUGAUUUUGGUGUAGUGGUUGUGGCCCACAAAACCACAAUAGUUUUAUUUCAAAUACCACCCCAAAUGAUUUUCUAAAAGUUUUAUUCUACAUAUCAAUAAUUUUCUUACCCAAAUGCUUUUCUCAAUAUAAUUUGAUUUCUUAGAAGGAAUAAUUUUUAAAAAAAAGAUAAAACCCUACCUUAUUUACUAAUUCUCAUUUAUUAUCUAACAAAUAUUUAGAAAAAAAAAUGCUAGGAUGGUCCAAACUUCAACUCUCAACAAUAUUCUAUAAAAAAAUAUUAUUAUUUCUUUUUACUUUUUACUUUUUGAUGCAAUUUUUAAAUCUACAUAUUUACAUUACAAAAAAUCACGUGGAAAUUGUCGGUCCUUUAUUUCUACAAAUAUAGUUAAUGUAAUUGAAGCAUCAGUAAAAUGUCGAGAUAUUUUUUAAACAAUUUUUAGUAUGUUUAUUACACAGUGUCCGAUGUUCCGUAUACAAAAUUUCUGGAUUUGCCACUGUAUGAAGCCAAUUACUUUUUUUUUUAUAUAAAUUUCAUAUUUAUCAUGAUUGAAUUUUGAUUAUUGUCGGAUGAUUUUUUACUUCUUUUUUUCUUAUUAUUUGUCAUUUACUAUUAUCUUCUUCAUAUUAUUAUUUCUCAUUCUUCAUAUUUUUGCUUAUUGUUGCGAUUUAUUUAUUUCCUCCUCCAAAAUUUCUUCCUUCUUCAUUUCUCAUAUUCUUUCUUUCUUCUUGUUUCAAGAUAUAAAUGAUAUUGGUAUAUGAUCUAAACAAUUGUAUACCAAUAUAUAAACAAUCAGUUGUCUAUUUCAUAUAGAAAGAGAUAAACCACUAUCACUAAUAGAUCGUUUAGACUAGAUACAUGAUCGUUUAUACAAGAUACAUUAUCGUUUUGCCUUGGUACCGAAUCGAUUAGACUUGGUACGAGAUCAUUCAGACUUGCUACGUGAUCGUUUAGACUGAGUACGAUAUCAUUUAAACUAGGUAUAAGAGUAUGGGUACGAGAUUGUUUAGACUAAGUACAAAAUCAUUUUUUGACGCAUGUGUCAUGUGUGACUAAUUAAUCGUGAGGAUAUUUUUUGUUAUUUUAUGUUGUGAAUUUGUAAGAUUUUUUAUUUUUUAAAAUUGUUUUAUACGGUGCAAAUAUUUUUGGAUUUUGUUCUAUUUUUUAAAAAACCACAAAACAAAUUUUAUGAAACAACCUCAUUUAUUUAUAUAUAUAUAUAUAUAUAUAUAUAUAUAUAUAUAUAUAAAAACCACAAACCAGUGCUCGAAAAGAAAAUUGUUUCUUUUUUUUUCCUUUUUUGUUUUUUAAGACAAUUAUCAAAUUUUUCUUAGAUGAACAAUGGCAUCCAAAUACAUUAUAAACUAAUUGUCACACUUCAUUCAAAAGAAAAGAAAAAAAAAACUAAUUGUCACAGCAUUCCAAUAAAUUCAGAGGAAUUCUCGUGUAUAGCAAAAGUUUUGAAACUAUUUAUCAAAUAUAACAAAAGACUUAAUUGAGCUAUAGAUAAUCGAAUAGAUUUGGCUAUAUUUUGUAUAUAGUUUAAGUUUUUAAUAUAUUUGAAAAUGCGAUGUAAAUUUAUUUAUCUCUGGUUAAUGUUUCUUUCAAUCAAAUGUUUUUUAUUUAUCUUAAAAUUAUUGAAAACUGAAAAAUCAAAACCAUGACAUGGAAAAUUUGCAAUUUUGGAAAAUUGUUUCACUAAUUAUUUUAAUUUUUUUGGGGUAAAAAUUAACUUUUAGAUCUUAAAAAUAAUUUAUUAUAAAUAAAUAAUAAUUAUGGUGUAACGCCUACGUAUAAUGUCCAAAUAAGGUCGCCUCAUUUAUUAUGUGUCAAGAAACCAUACAUCCUUAGGAGUCGUUUGGGAUAAAGAUUAUUAAAACUAUAAUAACCACAUCUUACUGUAGUAAAUACUAUUUAAAAGUCUCAAAUUAGCUACCGUAAUUACUAUUUCAAAACUUUCAAUUUGCUACAUUAUUUAUUAUUUGCUAUAGUUUUUAGUAUUUGACAUUCAUCAUUUUUUUUAUUAUUUGUUUUCGUGUUAAUUAUUUCUUUAUCAAACUAAAAUAGUUUACACACCUUAACUCAUAUUUUCAUAAUCCAUACUAAAAUAAUAUAUACAAAAUAAUACAAACUAUUUUAAUCAAACUAUAAUAACUUAAAACAACAAUAACUCACUUCUUAUCUCUAAACAAUUUUUUUGAUGUCUAAGUAAUACCACGUCCUACUUAUCAAAUUGCGUAUAAAGUAACUUUUGGUUGGUUUUCAAGAAUAUAAGUUACAUGAUGGGAAAAAUCAAUAAAGAUGGACCCAUCCAUAAUUCUCCAAUUUCUUUCAAUUUCUUCCUUUAUUUUAUUUCCAUAUUUUAUUUCUCAUUUUUAUUUCUAAUUUUCUAAUUAAUUUUUUAUUAUUAUUAUAUUUAAAAAAUAUAUACUCGUAGUCACAGUUUGGUUCCUCAAUUUUACAAUAGAUUUUAGUUUAUAAACUUUAAUUAAACAAUUUGGUCUCUCUAUAUAUUUUUAUGACAAUUUAGUCCAGUAGAAAUUAGUGUUAAAAUACAAUAAGUUUUUUCUUUUUUUGUCAACAAAAUUAAUUAGAGACUCGACCUUUUUCUACUAUAUAUAUGACAUCAUAAACUAAUAAAAAUUGACCUCUAAUUUUGAUAAUAUUUUUUUUUUGUUUUCGAGACUAAAUUAUUACAAAUUUGAAAUUAGUACGAGGAUACAAAAGAUUAAAUUAUUAGAUACUAAAUUUUAGAGAAAAUUUAUUUACGAAAUCUAAAGUAUAAGGAACUAAAUUGUUAUAAAAUAAUUUUAGGCACUACUACAAAAUUGGCCUUUUGAUGUACAAAUGUUCACAUUAGAUACAGAUGUCAGUUAAGCUAAAUAAAGUUGAACAUAAUAACUAAUUUAAUUUUGAUAAAUUCACCUAUUUCAAUCUAAUUAUAAUUACAUUAGUUAACUUUUAAAAAAUAAUAUUGUACUAUUGAUGCAUAGAAAGUAAUAAUUGGAAAAAAUAGUAAAUAUUUAAGGGUAUUAUUGAUGAAUAUCGUGCUUUCUGAGCCAGUUAACGAGGGUCUAAAUUUUGUGCUUCUUGAAAAAUAGUUUUUUCUUGAUGAUCAAUUUCCAUCAAAAUAUCAUUUUUCUUAACGAGCCUUGUUCAAGAUAUUAUCAUAAACCCUGAACUAUAAAUUUAUUUCUAGAUGGGCAAUACCCAUCAAGAUGUCAUUUUUGUGGAUGAACAUUGCCCAUGAUCUUUUUGGUUUUUGUCCAUCAAGAAACCCUAGACGCAUCAAGAAAAUUCUAAACUCAUCAAGAAAUCCAAAACAAAUAUAUUAAUUUUUUUUAAUGAUGACCUUUGCAAAUCAAGAAAAUUCAUCCAUUUAUGCGUCUCGUCCAUAAAUAAAACCUAAUUAUCUUGAUGAGCAUUGACAGUAAACUAAUAUAUUAUCGUUAGAUGUUUAUUGUCUAUCAAAAAGUAGUUUUUAUUGACGUUUGUAGACCAUCAACAAAACCAAGGGAACUUUACCUAUCAAGAAAAUCAAUAAUCCACAUUUUCUUACUUUUUUUUGUAUUUCUUCAACAAAAUAAGAUGACUUUUUUUUACGGACGUGGCCGUCAAGAUAAACAUUGUAUCGAUGGUCAUUUGUCAUUACCAUCAAGAAAUUAAAAUUUACGUGUGUAAGACCAAAUUUGUAGUAGUGAGGAACCAAAGUAAAGUGUUACUUCAGCAUAGUAUAGAGACCAAAAGUGAUUUUUAAUCUUAUUUUUUUUACAAUAUGUGAAGUAAGAGAUUCAAAUUAUUUUGAGAUUGAUAGUACAAAUAUUAUGUCAAUUUUAUUGAGAAAAUCCUCUCACUUUUACCACAUAGAGUAAAUAGAAAAAUAAUAGAGAAACUAAAAUAAAGCAAUAAUGAUGUACAAGCACAAGAAUUAACAUGAAAAGACUCUCAAUUGAAGAAAAAAAAAUGAAGUACUAGAAAAAUCUGCUAUGUGAAAAAAUUACAUUCUCCUAGAAUGAUUUUUUCUCCAACCUCAAAUGCAAUAACAUACUUUCUCAAACUUUUUCACUAGUUACACCUUCUUUCCGCUCCGAACUUAGUUAAAGAACAAAAUGAAUUUAAGUUAGAAUUCACAUAAUAAUCUUAAAAUAUUUUUAACUAGAUAAGUAAAAAUCAAAGAGUACACGUGCUUGAAACUCAUUCUCAUUUAAAAUUUAAUCGAUGUAAACAAACUAUGCUUCUAAUAUUUUACCAAAAUUUAACGGAUUUAAAUAUGCUUGUUUAACUAAUUUGAUCUCUCUCACCUUCAUGUGGUUUUUAAUUUUAUAUAAAACAGUGUGUCAGUGUGUGAAUGGUUUUAAUCUCACACCAUCGGUUUGGAAACUGUUUUUUACUCAUUCAAAUCACAAGAUCUUGAAAACUUUUAGACUUGAAUUACAUGACCAAACUUGCCCAUUGUCCAAACUACAAUUAUUAAAAUCCCGAAGAUCAAAAUUUAAAAGUAACGAGGCCAAAUGGGUAAUUUAAACUUAAUAUUUACAUUUUGGUUGGUCAUGAAUUUUGUGUUUUUUUCAAACAGCUUUUGCAUGAAAUAAUGUGUGCAAUAAGUUGCUUUACUUCAAAAUAUAUGAAUUAUGCAGCAGAAAAUUGAAUAUAUUUCAAACUUAAAAAGAUUGUUCUUUUCUAUACAUCUUUUAAAGUUUAGGUCAUUUAGUUUUUAAAAUAAAUGUUUGUUUCAUAAUUCAAUUGAUGAUACGAUAGGAUGCUCGUCAAAGUAAACUUGGCGAUUUUUUAUUAUAGAGUUAUGAGGUUUGAUCUCUACCCACCCACCCUCUAUCCUAAUCAUGUAAACAAAUUAUAACCUACAAGCUAUAAUAAAUAACUCACCUUCUCAAACAAUUCUUAGAUGUUGGUUUUUAGAUAAUUAAGCUUAUAAAUAGUUCUUUCAAUUCAUAAGUUUUUAUAUUUUGCAUCUACUCUGUACUAAUGUUUUAAAUCAGUCAAGUUAAGUUUUAUGUGUUUAUUUGAGAGGUAGAAAACACAAUUGAGAACUUGAUAAGUAACUCGGAUAAAAUUUUAAAAAUAAAAUAAGUAUAAAACAAAACCUUAUUUUGUAUGUUUGAAUACCUCUUUGACACCAAUACAAAAGUUCAUAGACUAAGAACACAAAAGGGUCUAAUCUAAUUGAAAGAUUAACACGAACGCGAUAAUCAAGACGUCUCACUAGAGAUUUUGGACUUCCUUUACCAAAGUUGUACAUUAUUAAAAAAAAAAACAAAAAAAGAAAUGUCCAAAAAGUACCUCUAAACUUUGCCAUAUAUUUUGUUGAAAAUUAGAAUAGGAUGAUGGACCUUUCAACAACUAUUUGGAAGGAGAAAAUAGGUUGAAAUAUUAAGUUGUAAAAUAAUGAAGAAUAUUAACCGAAGUUCAAAAAGGUAAUAUUGGAAUGUUUUUACUUUUUUUUUUUUUAGACAACAUAGUAAAAGAAUUAUAGGAUUUAAAAAAAAAAAAUUGAAGGAUAAUAAAAAGAAAAGAAAUAAAAUAGAAAAGAAGAGAAUAGGGGACCGACUGGGUUGGAGAAGGAAGGGGAAGGGUAGUCAUUUUCGUAAUUUCAACAAUUUAGUAACAGCCUAUAAAUACGAGUUGGAUCCAUGGCGCCUAUAAAUACCAACCCGCUACGUUUAUUUCAUUUGUUUGAAACCAAAGGCCUGAGGCCACGAAGAGAGAAAUUUGGGAGAGAGAGAGAGAGAGAGAGAGAGAGAAAGAGUUCGGAAGAGAGACUGGUGGUGGGGCUCUCAGAGAGAGAGAGAGAGAGAGAGACUGACGAGAAGAGUAUUAGGAAGAAGAGAGAAAACAUAGGAGAGAAAGAGAGAAUAAGACUCCAUAUUCAACUCUACUCUAUUCUAUUAAUUUCUCACAUUUUCCCCCAUUUUUCUCUUCUUCUUGUGAUUUCUUUCCACGUUUUUUCCAUAAUUUUUGUUCCUUAUGAGCCGUUUAGGGUUCAAAUCCGUCGUGUUUCACGGCGACGUCCGUCUUGGGGAACUUGACGCUAUUCCGGCCACCGACCAGAAUUUUCAGUUUCCGAACAACGAGAUUAGAAUCCACCGUAUAUCGCCGCCUAGUGAGAGAUGUCCUCCUCUUUCAGUUCUUCAAACAAUUUCUUCAUUUUCUCUCAGGUGUAAGCUACAAUCUUCCCUGCCUGUUGAACAACCGCACUUGAUCCAGCUUCACUACUCUUGUUUCCACGAAUUGAAGGUUUUACUCAUUUUCUUGAUUCUUUUCUUUUCUCUUCAAAUGUUUUCUUUGAGUAAAUGUAUGUGUGUUUGUGCGUGUUUCAUAUGGAUACUGAUUUUCAACGUUGUUAAUUCAUUUAAUUAUGAAAGUUUCACUGUGAAUUUGGUGUGGAGUUGAGUUGAGUUGACGUUUGGAAGUCAGACUGUAUUGUGAAGUUAGUUUUUAAUAAUUUGGAUUCUGAUGUUUUUAUACGAACUUACAGACCGCAAUUGUCUUGGUUGGAGAUGAAGAAAUUCACCUUGUUGCAAUGCCGAGCAAGCAGAAGAACUUUCCGUGUUUUUGGUGUUUUGCGGUGCCUUGUGGCUUAUAUCUAUCCUGUUUAGGAAUGCUAAAUCUCAGGUGUCUUGCUAUUGUUUUUGAUCUAGACGAGACACUUAUUGUGGCGAACACUAUGAAAUCUUUUGAAGAUAGAAUUGAAGCUCUUCGAAUUUGGAUUGCGCGAGAGGCAGAUCCAUUGCGUAUAUCUGGAAUGUCUGCUGAACUCAAACGGUAUGUGGAGGAUCGGUUGUUGUUGAAACAGUAUAUUGAACACGAUACAGUAAAUGACAAUGGGAGGAUUUUUAAGGCUCAACUGGAGGAGGUUCCUCCACUAAAUGGCAACUGCGAGAAAGUAGUUCGUCCUAUAAUUAGAUUGCUGGACAAGAAUCUUGUUCUUACUCGCAUCAAUCCAGAGGUUGCCUCUAAUUCUGAUGCUAUUUAUUUACUGCUGUUGUGCCAAUAAGUUCAUUUAUAAUUAAUAGACCUAAUUAUUAUUUUUGGAUUCAUUUUGGGCAUUUCAUUUAGGUUUACCAAUUUAAUAAGAUAAGGUUAGAACUGAGAAAUUUGAAGUCUGUUACCAUGAAUAAUUCUUGGAAGAAAUCUGAAUAAAGUACACAUCUAACUCAAAUCUCCAUCUGCAGCCUGGUUUCUCUACACUUUUUGUUCUCUUUUGAAUAAGAAAAAUGUUCAUAUACUUUAACCUUAACCAAGGACCAAACUUAACAAACUUAAAUAAUAGGAAUAACAUGAAUUCAUAAUUUUUUCUCAUUGAAUUGUAUGAUGUGCCUACUAACAAACCUGGUUUGAUAUGAGAUUCAUAGAGGUAAUUACUAGGAUGAACCUACUAUUGGCCUAUUGGAAUGACCCAGGGGACUGUUUAUCAUUCUAAAGUCAUUAUUCUCAAUGCAGAUUCGCGAUACCAGUGUUCUUGUGAGGUUACGUCCUGCAUGGGAAGACUUAAGAAGCUAUUUAACUGCUAGGGGUCGCAAGCGAUUUGAAGUUUAUGUAUGUACCAUGGCUGAAAGAGAUUAUGCAUUAGAAAUGUGGAGGCUUCUUGAUCCAGAAGCUCACCUGAUUGCAACAAAGCAGCUUCUUGAACGUGUUGUUUGUGUAAAAUCAGGUAAAAAACCUAAUAAUCCUAUUCUGAAGUGGAAACUAUCAAUUCUAUAGAUUUGUGCCUUGGCACAUACCUACAGGAUAGGAGUCGUAGAUUCACCUGUGUUACCUGAUGGCUGAUACGGACAAUGAAACCCACCUUGUGAACCUGAAAUUUGCAAAUUGUUAGGUGCUUUGAAAUUUAAAUAAUUUUUAGGGACUGUAGGAUCUUUCAUUUAAUAGUAUGUUAAUUGAAAAAUAUGUAUUUUCCUUUUUAUUUGUAGAAAAAGAGAGUAAUCCUGUUGUUUUUCUUACAUUUAUUUCUUGAGAACUUGAAACCGAUACUUAGGUUGGGGGAUUUGGCAGGUUCUAAGAAAUCUUUGCUGAAUGUCUUCCAAUCCGGUUCAUGUCAUCCAAAGAUGGCCAUGGUUAUUGAUGACCGUUCAAAGGUUUGGGAAGACAAAGACCAACCGCGUGUUCAUGUAGUUCCAGCAUUUACUCCUUACUAUGCUCCUCAAGCAGAGGUAUGAAAAUGUUGCCCCAUUUGUAAUAUUAUUUUUAAAUAAAUAAAUAAAGAUCAAGACUAACUGAGUGCUUAAUAAUGUGAUAUUUCUUUUUUUAAAUAAAUAAAUAAAGAUCAAGACUAACUGAGUGCUUAAUAAUGUGAUAUUUCUUUCAAAUAGACAGCAAAUGCAGUCCCUGUCCUCUGUGUGGCAAGAAAUGUUGCAUGCAAUGUCAGGGGUUGUUAUUUCAAGUAAGUGUAACUAGACGUGCCGACUUACCUGCACACAAACACCUGCCUUUAUUGUCUUUGAAAGCUAAUCAUAUGUAUUUUUCCUUGCAGAGAAUAUGAUGAGAGUUUGUUGCGACGGAUUCUGGAAAUUUCUUAUGAAGACGAUGUGGUUGAUCUACCUCCUGCUCCUGAUGUGAGCAGCUAUAUGAUGUCAGAGGUAGGUAUUUGAGAUGAAAAAUAUUCACCUUACCAUUAAAUGAUUGUUGGUGGUCUUUUUAUUAAUUUCUUCACCGAUUAAUUAUUGAUAGGAAGCUGGUUUUGUACCCAAUGAGACUGUGAAUGCUCCAAUUUGUGAAGGAAUGAAUGGGGCUGAAGUGGAAAGGAGACUGAAUCAACCGGUGAGUUUUUCAUACCUGCUGCUAAUGUUUUAUGUUAUCGGAGUAACGAGUAAUAAAGGGCUUUACGUAAAAUUCUUAACAUUCAGGAUGAUAAGCAUGUAAUAGAUAUGGCCAAUAAUCCUACUACAAGCCAAACAGAUGCGAGAGCAGAUACUUCUCAAUUACCAACUCCUCUAAAUCCGAAUAUCACUGGACCAAAAUCUUCAAGAACUUUACUGCCUUCUCAAAGUAUGGCCUCUUAUGUUCUUAUUUUUCCUACCCUUUUAAAAUGAGAAACCAACUUCCAUUUUGUCAUUCUGUUACUUUUUCCAUUAGUUUACUUUUUACUUUUAAUUGUAUAAUUUAUUCUGCAACGGUUAAACAUGAUUUGCUUCUUACAAGAGAAUAGUACUCAUUUGUUUCUUCAUAUUGUAUUGUAUUAGAGCCUGGUUUGCUUGGGGCUCCUGUCAGGCGAGACAUCUCUUCUGAUCAUGACAUGAAGAGAGGACUCCUUGCCAUGAAACCCAGUAUAGAUCUCAGGACUCAGACCUUUGGUGAUCCCCCUAUUCUCUCCAGAAUGUCCCCACAAAUAUCAGCAUCUGGAUUACAGGUGCUAGGAGCUUCAUUAGUGGAUGAGGAUUCCAGUCAAGGACAUCAAAAUCGUCGACCUUCAGGACUUAUUCCAGAAUCUGAUGCUUCGAAAUCUGAUAAACACCGUUCUCAUCAGAACCUUUUUAGCAACAAUUCACAAGGUUUUUCUUUUACAAGUUCUCUUUUUACGGGCUUAUGGUGAAGUGUGACGAUCAUUUUCCCCGAACUUAAAUCUACUUUUUUACCUGACUGAAGCUUUGACAGGAGUUGCUGCUAUAUCUCAAAAUCAUGCAUCUAACAAUAACAAAGAACAUCAAACUGAAGCAGGGAUUGUUUCUAUACCUCCGCCUUCUUUAUACAUUGGAGUUCUACAAGAAAUUGGUCGUAGAUGUAGUUCAAAGGUACAGUGCUAGUUUUUUACUAUGAUUUUAAUUCUCACCACGUGUUUCUCACUUUGCCUAAUUAUGCAGGUCGAGUUUAAAACUGUUGUCAGUACCAGCAAGGAUUUGCAAUUUUCAGUUGAGGUCAGUGAAACUACGCUCUUUGUAGAAAAUUUUCAACUGUACAUGAACUAAAAUGGAAUAGAUUAUUCAUAUUUAGGUUGGUUUUUUGCUGCCUUUUCUGUCGAGUAAACAGAAGAGUAAAUAUUUUAAAGAGCUUUUAGUGUAGGAUUGAUUCCUCACGUUGUUCCAUAUUCUUCCUUUCCAAUGUUUCAUUGGCCUUGAUGUAGAAAGCAGAUAAAAAAACAUAAAAAUAAUCGUUGUGUCUUUUUGUUCGUUGGAAUUAAGAAGCAUCGUCGAACAAUCUAAUUGUGUUAGAAUGUGGCAGAUUUCAUUUUCUCUGCUUGUUCGGUUCAGGUUUUGUUUACUGGUGAGAAGAUUGGUGUUGGAUUGGGUAAGACAAGGAAAGACGCUCAACAACAAGCUGCGGAGAAUGCGCUUCACAAUUUGGCAGGUAAAACUGCAUCCUCUUUUCUAUUCCACUACUUGGAUAUGCUUCUAUUUCAUUCUAUCUUUUUCCUUUUGAUUUUACACUAGACCUUGACGUUAAUUCUUAAACAUGUUGUUUAAUAUCUUCUAUUCUCUAUAUUCAUUUUCCACGGGAAACUCUUAAGAUGACGGUUUAGAGUUUAUGAACAAAUAUUGCUCCAUGGCUAUGGAAUGGAAACUCUUACCUAUGUAUAUGUAUAUAAAUUCUGUAUCUUUAUGGAGUGCAGAUAAGUAUGCUGCACAUAUCAAGCCUCUUAUGGGACCCAUGGAUGCAGAUCUCGACAAGCUUUCUAUUGGCGUUGAAAAUGGAUUCCUAUGGGACACAGCUGCUCCAGCAGUUAACGAGUUGCCGAAGGAAGAAGACGUUUGGCAUAAAGAAAACAGCUCCGAGGUGCGAAUUACUAGUAAUCCAUCAGAUAGAUGAUUUGAUUUUUGUGGUUCAAAAACAUAGGUGAUGCUUGGAUAAAGGGUAUGAAGGAAAGUAAUUUCCAGAUGGGGGUUACUGCUCACAACCUUCCCCCCUUUCUACUUCAUCUCAUUGCACCAACAAAAACCGAAACACUCAAAGGCAAAGUUAGCUGCUUCAUGUUUUCCCAAUGCUGCCUCUUUAUGUGCAGGCCUCUCUGAAAACAUUUUAAAAAGGUAUGAGCUCGGUGGUCAAUCCCCAGUUUCUACCCCUUAUCCAAGUACCUCCCAUGUAGUUGAUUUGAUUUUUGGUCUCUUUUUCCUUAUGUCCACAAGUUUUUAAGAGUAUUUUUCGCUAUUUAAUGAAAUAUAGCUGCACUGAACUUUUUACUUCUAUUCAUUUGUUAGCUUUCAAGUCAAUCUUGUGGAGGACUUGUGUUGAAUAAAAAUUGAAGAGAAUAGAAGCUUAAAACUUAAUUGGUUAUGUCAAAUUAUAUUAUACAUUUUUGUUCCGUAAAAUGCAUCUUUUAAUAUCUUUUUGUGAUUACUGACAAUUGCUUCCAGGGUUGUGAUGAACCCGAGAGUACUAAUUCUGAUUCGACAAAUCAUCAGCAGCCGCAGCAUGUUCAGAAGCGGCAGAGUUCCCCGAGGUAAACACUCUCAAAUUUGUCUUUCCUUCUUUUCUAUUUGGGGUUACUUUUACGCCCUAUCUGUUCACAAUUUGGUUUUUAGCCCACACUCCCUUCACUUGUAAAUCUUUUUGUUUUGCUAUCUACCCUUUUUUAAAAAAAAGAAAGAAAAAAAACUUGAUUUUGAAAACUAAAAAAUAUUUAAAAACUUGCUCUUUUUGGCAUCUGGAUAAAAAAAUCGUCUCUUAUUCUGAAGACAGUUGCAUAGAAACGGGCUUAAUUUUAAAAUGCCAAAAAUAAAAAUAAAGUCAUAUUUGGUAAAAUCUAUUUCUAUCUCUAAAUCUACUAUUUAUUUAUUUCUAAUGUUGUAAAAACCAAGUCAGUUUUGAUAACUAAAAAAAAGGAAACAGUAAUAUUUGGAAUUUGGCUAACCAUUUCAACUUCUACUUAAGAAAUGGAGAGAAUAGGUUUAAUUUUUUUAGUUGAGUCAAAUCUGGUGAGACCAAAUAGAUCCCCCACCCCCACCCCCACUUUUAAUCUCAGUGCAAUAUAAACUUUACGACUUGGUUCUAAUCUUCUGCAUGGUGUUGAACUGAAAACUUGAAAGUUGAAAACUAGGGCCCAUCCUUCACCACUACUUAAUUUUCUUUAAAAUUUCAAAAUGGAAUAAUUAUAUUUGGAAACUAAUAUUGCAAAACUUGUUUAGUUACCAUUUGGCCUCCUUUUGAUAACCCUUCGUUUUUUGUUUUUUAAAAUUGUGUUAUUCUUUUUUGUUUUUUGUUUUUUGUUCUUUUUUCCUUUUUACUAUGGUUUGCUUCUUUUCCUAUUAAACAUUUGAAUGGAAGCUAAACGGUGUUUAUAAUCUUUGUUAUCUAAAACUAUAAAUGAAGCAAAAAGAUGUUGGAAACUUAUAAAAGAUGUAAGCUCAUUUUAAUUUUCUGUUUUUGAAAUUUACAUCUGUUUUCGAUGAACACCUUUGUUAAAAUGAUACUUGGAACUUUUAUUCAAAUUGUAAAGACUGAAUUUCUUAUAUUUUCUUUUCCUUUUUUUCCUUUUUUUCUUUUUUUUUUCUUUUUUUUUUGUCAAUGUGAACUUGGUAUUUAAAAUGUUUAAUUACUCAUUUUUCGUAAUUGGUGUACUAAAUAUUUUUUUUUGGUGAAAACUUAUUUUCUAGGUCUCUUUCGAUAGCAAUUUGACUUUUGAAAAUUAUGCAUAUUUCUUUGCUGUUUUUCUGAAUUCUUAGCUAAAUUUUAAAAAUAAAAACAAGUUUUUAAAUCUAUAAUUUUCUCGAUAUCGUUUUAUUGGUAGAAACUAGUUAACACAACAUUUGCUUACUUUUCAAACACAAAGAAGUGUUACCAAACAAAAUUUUGGUUUACAAAGUAUGGGUAAAGCAUGAACAAAAUUACUGUUUUAGAUUCAAAAUUCAAAAUUUGACUUGGCUUUUAAAACAUGGAUAAUAAGUAGAUAUCAAAGCACGGCAAGGGAUUAGAGGUGGAAGAGAUGUUUUUAGGCCUACAAAAAUUAAAAUAAUGUUUUUUGAAUUUGUUUUUGUUAUUUAAUUUCUACUAACAGCUUAGUUAAUUAAAAUCUUUAAUUAAGUAAGAAGAAACCAUUGUAAACAAAUUAAACAAAGCAAAUCCUACAAAAUUGUAAUGGAGCUUCAGUUACCCAAUUUUCCAAACAAAGAAACAUAAUUAAUUGUAUUUUAAAAAAAUUCUGUUUUUCCUGAAUUCUCAGAUUAGAAAUAAAAAUAAAGGGCUUGCAAAUGAGUGCACAUAUAUACACACAUAUAUACUCGUAUAAGUAUGGGGUAAUACUGAUACUUCAUCACAAAAUUGAUAUAUACUCGUAUAAGUAUGGGGUAAUACUGAUACUUCAUCACAAAAUUGUGUUUAAUGAGUUUUUGUGAUAACGUGAAUAUUUUGUUUUUUUCUUUAUUAUUCUUAAAAAAAACCAUAUAUAUGUUUGUGUGUGUGUGUAUAUAUAUAUAUUAAAGAAAAAAGAAGCAGAAUCCUAUAUUAACAUUACUGGAAGAAUAAAGAAUAUUAUCUAUUCAAAUCAGAUGGUUUUUUGGUGCUAUAGAUUUUUAUAGUAUUAUCUUCUUACCAAAUAUAUAAACAAUAGUGAAUAUAUUUUAUUUGUUUCAGACCAUUUCCAAGUAAACGUUCAAAGGAAGAUCAACCACAUGGUCCUCAACAUCAUCAUCAUCAGCUUCCACCUUCACGCCAACAAAAAAAUGGCCAUUCCAAUUCCAUUACUUGAAGACCAACGAUCGAUCAAUCAAUAAAUAAAUAAAUAUCCAUCCCACCAAAAAAAGAAAAAAUGUUAAAAUUUUUGUAACCCAGCCCUUCAACUUGGCCUCAUUUCAUGGAACAAAAAAGCUUCUUCUUGCCUCCCUAAGGGCCUUGAGGUGAAGAACAAAAACCCUCUUCCUUUAUUCUUUUCCUUUUUCUUUCUUCUUGAGAAAUACGGGCUGUAAAUUUUUUGUUCCUUUUCUUUUCUUCCCAUUUUGGGCCUCCUCAGUCCUAUUUCUUACUGGCUUCCCUUAAAAUCACUAUGUUGGCCGUUAGUGUGGCUGUACCCUUCUCUCUUAGAAAUACUACAAUUUCAAUCAUUGUGUCAUUACUCAAGUGAUGAAAAUUAGUCUUUUUUACCUUUUGUUUCUCUAUUUGUGUUUACUAUUUUGUAUAUAAAUUUGUUUCUGUUAAUAAUAUAGUUCAUUUUAGUUAGAAAGAAAAUGCUUCGGAUUUUACUCAAAAUCUUUGAUAUAGAUAUCAUACUCGACUAAGGGAGAAAAAACGUCACUUUCUGAAAGCAAAAAUUUGUAAGAUACAUUAAAGCCAUUAUUAUUCUGAUUAUAACAUGCAAAUAAGACUGAGCAAUUGGACGAUAUUAUAAUCCAAUGAAACAAAGUGAGUUUAAAAAUGUGAGUCUAACUGCCAAAAUUGGACGAUGGAUAUCCAAAAUUGAUGGAUGGACAAAGCAGAAGCCACUCCAAAGAUAUGAAUCACCUCGAAAACUGCAAGGCAAGAGACGCCGCAGAGGGAAAAAAAAUCAAGGCUAAAUAGGUAAGGGUGGAGUCAGAAUCGUCAAGGAGGCCCUUAGAUAGAUUAUGCUACGACUGAGGAUUAAUUAUUCAAUCCAAUGUUUUCUUAAUCGCCGUUUCUUUUCUAAAGAAAUUAAAAGGGAGCAAUUCCCUGUCAAUUUCCCAAAAUACAAAAAUGGAAAAUUUUGCAAGAAUGAAGAAAAAAUGGGUUUUCUUGUCUUCGUCCACAUCUCUAGUUGGGACCUCAAAUAUUUUCCUAUGAUAAAUACUUCAAUGCAUCGUGAGACACAUCCACCUCUCCCAUCACAAAUCUUUGUUUUGACUUUUAAGGUUUCUAAUGUGUGAUCAAGUAGGCUCAAAAAAGAUGGUCACACUGGAAUUACUCAAAUGUAGUUUUUUUUUUCCUAUCGCGCUUCUGCAUUUUUGUUAACUCAUCUAAAAGGAUUGUAGUUAACCGUAUAAAUUUUAGUGAACCAAAGAAUUGAUUCAAACAUUUACUUCACAAUCAUAUUGGCUGAUACUAUCAAAGCGAGAGAGACAGAGAGACAGAGAAGAAAAAAAAAGGAACUUGAUUUCCCAACCAAUGAAACAUGAACGAACGAAAAGUAUAGUUUCAGGAAAAACUUGAACCAAAAGCUCAAUCCCGAAUCUAUUAAGACAUAGUUUAGGGUUUAGAUCCAGACGUCAGAGACUCAAACAUCAGUACUCCACCCCACAUGCAAAUGCAAUCAGGGAAUAUGAAGUGAGUAGCAGCAAACUAUGGGUACAGCUAAGAAGAACCAUGUCAAAAUCCACAAAGGAAAAAUAAAGACAGGUACUCGUAUUUUAAAACAGAUUUCCAUUCAACAAACAUAAUUCAUCAGAUUUCAAAUGUUUUAGGAUCGCCUUUUGAUCACCAUUGUAAUACAAAACAACAAUAAUAAUAAUAAAGCCAAAUAAACCCAAUUUCACCUCUUUCCAUUUUAAAUACCCAGAUCGACCAAAAUUAACAUUCAUCAAAGUUGAAUGCACAAUAAGAUAUUAAGGACUAGAUAUAAAACACACCUCUUCUACAGCAAUUCUAUCCAACUUUAGAAUUGUUUACCACAAAUAAGAAUUCUAAGUCGUCUUAACCUGAACCUGACUCUAAAUCGCUUGCUACUCCACAACAAACAAAAUCUAGGUAGUUUCCGAAACGACUUUUUCCUAGUUAACUUGAGUUUGCUAACACUUAUUGUGCUAUUCCCAAGCCCUGUCUUUCUGUCUAUGGAAUAACCAGUUGAUGUGCAAUUAGUUGUGUGAGAUCCAGAAUCAUGUGAGAGUCCAAUCUUGACGGAUGCCCAAGCAUCAAAGAUUUCAACAUCGGAAUCACUGCCCCAUAAUGGAAUUGACUUUAUCAUAGGUGAUCCACUGUACUUACGGAAAUAAGUGGCUAAACUAGUAUGUUGCAUCUCAAAUAAUCUCCUCAGAGAAGUGUUUCCUGCUUUCAUCAAGUCUAGUAAACUACUGCCUCUACAAGAUGAUUUAGAAGAGGAAGACAAAGAAGAAGAAGAAGAAGAAUACACAGAUUUCUGAUACUUGAGUAUUUGUCGGAUUCUUUCCUUUUGGACUUCAGGGUCAAUAAACCUAGGUACGUCUUCUUCCUCCUCAGAUAUCUCUGAUACUGGCAUAGUUAUCUAAAAAGCAGUGGUUGAUAAUACUAGAUGAAUGAGGCAACACACUUUAUCUCUUUCUGUAUAGAGAGACAGUAGAACCUCCAAAAUACACAUUAAAAGCAACAUAGACGGCUGAAAUCAAGUUACGAAAUAUAUUAUUUGUAAGAGCCGGCCAACAGAACUUUGCUUCACCGUUUACUUCUCAUGGUAAACAGUCUAUCCAAGGUCGUAUCUACCCUUUGUUUAUUUUCCUAUUAUGAUUAUGAAGUACAAUAGGCCUCCUAUGGUAACCCUUUAGUUUUUGGUAUUUGGUUUUUGAAAAUUAAGUUUACAAACAAUACUUCCACUUAUAAGUUUCUUUGUUUUUCUAUUCACUUUCUAUAAAUGUUUUCAGAAACUAAAACAAAAUUUGAAAACGAAAGAAGUAGUCUUCAAAAUAUAAUUUUUCUUUCUGGAAUUUCACUAAGAAUUUCAAAUGCUUCUUUGAAAAAUGUGAAAACCAUCCUAUGGAAUUCACGAGAAAACGAUUAUAAAUUUAAAAAAAAAACAAAUAAAGGUGGCCUAAGUAACUUCUUUAAGCCUAUCACAGAGAGAAUUGGAUAAAUCCUCCCAAACUCCUGUCAGAACUUAGUAUACGAACAAGCAACUGACGCUUCCUUACAA